UGUAAUGCAUGCUCCACGCCUUAUAUGAUGCUCAUGGAUUCAUUUAAAUUACACUACUUCCUAGUCCAUUACUAAGUCUCCGAAAGUGGUAUAGUCCUACGCAACGUAGGUGGUAUCCCCUUUCCCAGAAUGUCUGGCUUCAAGGAUACAAGCUAGUUGUAGGCAGGAGUCAGCCAAUCUCGGAAAGAACCUCGGUCUCCCAGCUAACCCCUAGGUUAGUAACCCUAGGAAGUCAAGUGUACAAUACUUCUUACCCUGCUGCUAUCCGUCUCUCAUUACAGUUCGUCGUACCCCGGAAGUGUAUUGCUAAUCAGGUAGCCACAGUUUGGGAUUAGUCAGUACCUCACCCCCUACUGACAAGUGGUUGUAGCACUCGGGUGGUGAUAAUCCUAACCCGCAAAUUUCUACAUGAUGCAAUUUCAAUCAUCAACCAGUCACACCACAUACCAAUAAAUGUCGGGCACACAAUGGUACCCUGACUUACCUGUCUUACCUUUUUCCGUCUUUCUGCUUCAUUGAGUUAGUAACAAAGAUAAUAAUAUUAUGCACAUAACAGUAUGCAUGAGAUACAAGCAAAAUUUAAAAUAAAAUAAACACUCUGUAAAAUAAUUCAGGGCACCCACUCACCUUGUUUCUCAGACUCCUGUGCGAUAGGUUCCCAAAUUGGGGUUCCGUCCUCACCGUCAGUUUUGGUUCCUAAUUACAAUGUUUUUAAUAAAAUAUUAGUAAUAGGAAAUUCUAGUUUAUCCAUUUUAGCUACAAACCUCAGUUCCGGGUUCUAACUGGACUUCCUGUGUUAUAGAAUCCCCUAUCCUUAACCUUCUCUUGGUAAGCCUACUUAUCAGGGAAUUGUUGUUGUAGUCCCCACACUGGGGUAGGGUAUUCUCGGUCUCCUACCUUAUCACCUUGGACACUAUGAUUCCAAGUACAGUCCUUACUUCCUACCGGGGUAAAUUUUUGGAUUUAAAAUGAUGUUAAUAGACUCAAUUUAUAGGUAGGGCCCAUUGUCCUAUGAAAAUGACCAAUCCAGCAUUCUGUAACCCUAACUGGCAGGUUGGUGGGGCAGAAACCGGCUGGCCGGUUGAACCUGCUGGUUCUUCUUUUACUGCAGAAUUCAAUUCUGCUAGUGCCCUACCGAAUACUGCCUUGGUUGUGUUGGGUUCCAACCCUCUUCCAGUGGUCCGAAUUGGGUAUGUAGGAUUUGAAUACCUAGUUUCAGUCUCCUACUGACCCCUUUCUUAGGUCCAAUUGGUGGUGUCAGGGAUGGUGAUUCUCAAUUUUGCAGAAUUUCAGGGUUCAGGUAAUUUGUGGAACAAUUCUGUAGAAUUAAGUCAAUCCUUCAUCAAUUUCCCGUAAUUUAAAUUAAGUAUAACUACCUACAGACAUGAAAGAGAUAUUUCAAUCCCAAGUGAGCACAUAGUAGGAUUCCAAGGAGGGAAUUCAUAGAUUAAAAUCUGAAAUGCAUUACUGCCUUAGAAAUUUUGUAGAAUUUCACCUAACAGCCCUUAUUUCAACUCAAAUUCCUUAAAUUUCCACUAAUUUGGUAGAACCAUAGGUUAUAGGGUUUAGCAGGGAUAAAUUUCCUGCAAAUUGGACCCCGGUAUCCCCUCUGAAAUUGGGGCUUCUUGUACUGGGCAGUAGUACGUCUCACAGGUUUCCCUGGUAAUCCCCAAUUGAGCCAAAAUCUUAAACCCUACUUCUCAAUUCUAUGAACUCGUCAAUCUCUACUGUACUGGGUCAUUAAACAUACCUGAGGCGGUGUUGGUCCAGCAAAAACCUUAGGUGAAGUAAUUCCCUCCUCACUUCUUCUGCUUCCUUCCUUUCCUUCUCUUUCCUUGUUCUCCUUCUCUUUUCUCCCUUCUUCUUCUUACUGUACUUAGCAAUAGGAAAUGAUUUUGAGUGAGUAAAUCCCCCCCUAAAGCCUUCUUAUGUUAUUUAUAGCCCAGCCCAAACAGUCCUAAGGGCCUGCUUGGCUGGAGCCUCUUCAGUAACCCAAUAGACAUAAUUUAGGUUAUUAUUUUACUACUUAGCUUAGGCAUCUCUGUUCUCAGAGGUAAAAGGUGAAUUGGGACCCCAAACUUGCCUCUAUUUACAAGCAAAAAGGCAGAAAUUCCACUGUAGAGAAGAGGGCCCCACAAACCAAACCCUAAAAUUUGUGUAUUUUGACAGUCUGGUUGGACCUGGCAGAUACAGUCUUUUGGGCCCCAUUUGGUCGGUAUAACCAUCCCCAGUGUCUGGUCCAUUGAGAAUUGAAAUAACACCUGUUUGCCCAUGUUUCUUGAUAAGUCUUCCAAUGCUGCUGGUAGACUGGGCAUCUACAGGUAGGAUCAUCCUUGCCUUCGUGGCAUUCCACUGCUGCCAACCAUGCUAGGGCUGCCUUCCUCUGCUCUGCCUCUUUACCUGAACACAGUAAAUCAAAGUAGGGUUUUACAGAAACCCUUGAUCUGUUUACUGAGGCUCUGAUACCAUGUUACAAACCAGAGGUCUAACUAAUCAAACCAAGAGAAAACAAAGAGAGAGAGAGAGAGAGAGAAAGAGGAAGAAAAAGAGAGAAAGAGAGGCUACCGAACUGUGUGGUGGGAGGCAGCCUGCGAUAGUGAAUUGUGUUCUAUCCGCAGGCUGCUCCUCACCUAUAUAUAUAUAUGUAUGUAUAAGUGCAAAAAUAAGAGAGUUAAGUUAGGGGACAGAAAUACCCCCAACCAACUUAUUACAAUGAGUAGAGAGAAAAUAAAGCGAAUAGGGGAGAAUACUAAGCCCGAUGAGAUAGAAUUGCCCCUAGAGCUUUAACACUUCCAUUGUUUUGAAACUAAUAAAGGUGAAAGUGUAUGCAGGCCUAAGUUUCUAUGGUUAUAAUUAAAAAUAUUUAAACACUUAGUUUCAUUCUAGGAAAGAUAAUCAGUUUCCAUCUGAAAAGACUGCAUGAUAAAUCUGUCGGGGCUACCAUCUUAUUUAUUGGGAAGAAACUAUCAGGCCACAAUGCAGUUCAAUUUAUUCUUUGUCUUUGCCAUCACCUUUUGAGGGAUGCUGAAAGUACUGCUUGUAUACAGCUGAAAGCUUGUAGAGAUCUCUCAAGAAUUUCUAGAUUUCGAGUUCAUGGUCUCAGUAUCAGCAUAAAGCCUUUCAUUUCAUUUCAUUGGCUCAUGUGGUUACUGAUCCUUCUAAUCAAGGAGCUUCAACUUUUUGAGUGUGAAGCGUAAACACUGAACUGGAGAUAACCUUCACUUACACCAAAUGCCCUAUGUCCUCAAAAAUAUUUUGUGUAGGCUUAGUAACCCUAAUAUAAAAGCAGACACUCUUUUUCAUAUUGUCACUUCUGGAUGAGCACAUAUUUGGAGGUUGAGCUUAAGAGAAAUGUAUAAUGUCUUUACCCUUCAAGCACUGGAAAGUUAGUGGUUCAUAAAAGAAACACAACAUAUAGGUUGAAUGACCUAGUUUUCGGCAAUUGAGCAAUUGUUGUUUUGUCCAUUGACCCCUACCUCUCCUCCCUCCCACCCCACCUCCCCCCCCCCCACCCCAAAAAAAAAAAAAAAAAAAAAAAAAAAAAAAGAAAGAAAAAGAGAACAUAAAAUAAAGAGAUCUAAAAAUUUGUUUUCUAAUCCUCUAUUCACUUGCUAUAAGUAGCUUGCUAUAAGAAGGCUAGAAGUAUUAAGUAUACUUUUCAUUUGUUGUUUUUGGUGUAGCUUUUUCCUUCUAGGAUGAAUCAGUGAUCUAGUGCGAAGUUGAGAAGUCAAUGUAUAUUGUUUCAGAUGCAAGGUUCCUUAAGUUACUCUUACCUUUUGUGUAAGCAUAUGAAAGGAGUGGAACCUCUGUAGCUUUUAGACAAGUAACGAUCACCCAUAGGAGCUUUUAAGGGAAUUAAGCUCGACUAGAUAUGUCUUUAUUAGUGAGGGCCUUUCAUAAAAAUAUCGAGUUUCUUGUUACAUUUUCUUGGUUACAUCUGGUUGUGCAAGUCUUCAAUGUGAUGAUUAUUUAGAAGAGGAUGGACCCUACUGUUUAGGUACUUUCAUUCUGUCAAGAAAAAGAGUAUAUUUUAGACAUUUACAUAUAUGAUAUGAUAGAUUGAGCUGAUCUGGAUCAUAGCACCACCCCCUGAUGCAGAUGAAACACAGAAGUGGGCUUAUUUAAGUGGAAAUAAGCCUUAGGUUGAGUUACAUAUGUGUUUGGCUUUUGGUCCAAUGGAUUUCAUUGUAAUAGGCCACUUUAAUGGGCCUAAAAUAUGGAUGGGAGUUAGGAAUACAGGAUUUAUUUUAUUAGUUUAGUUGAGCCUUUUAUCUCAUAUAUUAUUUCUCAUUAACUGUUUUAGUUGGGAAGAAUUAGAUCUCUAUGAGUCCACCUUUGUUUUAAGGUGUUCUCCUUUAUUUUAGGCUGAGUAUAGUAGUUGUAGACUACCUCCAAGGUAAGCUAUUGGCUGGGAGUUUUCGGCUUAGUUUGAUUAAUGUAGAACUAGGCUGACAAGUCAAGCCUAAUCCCAAUGCUGCAGGAUACUCUUAGAGAACAUUCCAAAAUCAAGGCACCAAUAGCAUAGUUCAGAUAAGAAUACUAGAAGGAAACAAAUCUGGAAAAAUCAAGGCUAUCGAUUCCAAUAAUUGGGGUUUCUGUAAUCAGAAUAUAACCAACUGUAAAGGGAAACUCAAAAGCUGAAAUAGGGUUAGAACAGAUGAUAAAACAUGAACAAUCAUCAUACAAAUCAGAAACAAACCAGACCUAUUUAUUAAUCUCAGAAAAUAGAACAGAUUUGGUCAAAAUAUCCAAUCGGGCAGAACUAUGGGUGAUUUGUGUAGCUGACCAACCAGUGGUCUUAUGGGGCCCAAACUAAGAUCUUACCACCUUCAGAUCGGGCCUAACACUCGACCAAACGAUGGAGAUGAUCAGGUGGUUGAAAGCCCUUGAAUCAGGGAUGGAUUGGGGAACAAGAAAGAGAAUUUCAGAACUGGAAAAUAGAAAGUAUUGCAGAUCCAUAGUGUGGGACAAACCAUCUAUAUCUAGAAAUGGAAAUGCAAUAGGUAGGGCCCCAAACAUCAGAAUGGAUCACAGAAAAAGGAACAGUAUUUCUAUGAUCAGGAGUAGGAUAAACAUUCCGAGUUCUGUUUUGCAAAAAUGCAAGCAUCACAAGUAAAUUGGUUCUGAUUACACUGUUUAACUAAAGCAGGAAAUAAUCUAGAUAUAGUCCCCGAGGGGGGGUGUCCUAAACGACGAUGCCAACGAUGAAGCUUUGAUAAGGCUAUCUCUGAAGUUGUAUGAUGAGCCUGUGUAGAUCCACUAUCCAGGUAAUAGAGACCACCACUCAUUUUACCACUUGCAAUUGUUGCCCCCUUCACCAAGUCCUGAAACACACAGUGAGUAGGAAAAAAGUGACUUUACAAUUGAGAUCCUUAGUAGUACUACCAAUUGACCAUAGAUUAGUAGAAAACUGAGGAAUAUGCAAAACAGAAGAGAGGGACAUGGAGGAUGAGCAUUGAAUGGUACCCAUCCCUACAAUAGGAGAUAGAUACCCAUCAACAACUUGAACCUUUGUUUUACUUGAGGAUGGAAAAUUUGUAGAAAAAGAAGUGGGCGACCCGGUUGUAUGAUCAGUAGCCCUAGAGUUAAUAAUCCAAUUCUUAGAAGGAACUAAAGCACUACCAAAAAAACAAUACCUGACUGAGCAGAGUGGGAGGGAGAGGCCACUAGCAGAAAGGAAGCAAUAGCUGCAGAGAAGGAUCCCAUAUGAUUCAUCAUUUGACAAACCAUAACCAUUUCAUCGUUAGAGGAGGAUCAUGUGAUACUAGGGCAGUCAGAGUUGUCUGUUGUCUUAGAUUAAUUAACCUGAUUGUUCUUUCCACGACCGUGGUUACGGUCGCUAGAAUUGGCUGGGUGCCCAUGGAGCUUCCAAGUCUCCCUAAUCUGGCGCUCCUUAAAUGUCACAUUUGACAAUAGGCAUGUCUGUGGAGGAAGGAGUAGUGAUUCGAGUACCAGAACCAGCAGGUUGACAAAUAGAACCCUAUGCAAAGAUUAGGUAGAGCGGUCCUGAGAAAUAGGCUGAAGCUUCUCAGAUCGACAUUUUUCUUCUGCAUGAAUCAGAGAAAAGUCUUGCUCAAGGGUAGGGAAGGGAUCAUGCUUAAGCACAUUUGCUCGAAUCUGAUCAAUUUCCACAUUUAGACUUGCAAGGAAAUUAUAGAUGCGGAACUCUUCUUCACAUUUUUUUAAAACCUACAACAUCAGUAGCACAAAUAGGUUGAACAUAGUAAUCAAUUUCAUUCCAUAUUCCUUAUAGUUCAGAAUGGUAUUGAGAUCCUUACAAUUUAGAAUAGAAUUGAAAGACUGUAAGGUCCUUAUGAGUAGCCCUAUGAAGGUUCUUUCUCAAUUCAAAACACUGGGCACUCUUGCCCACUUGAGAAUACGUUCUUUUCACAGCUUUUUGGAUCAGAGUAGCAGAAUCAAGCAAAAAAUACCCCCUAGUAAUAGAAGGGGUGAUAGAGUUGAUAAGAUGGGACAUUACCAGACAGUCGACAACAUUCCAUUUGUCUUGAGGGGCAUCAACAGUAGUAGGGCAUACAAAAGUAACUGUAUGAAGUCCGACAUAAUCUUGGCUAAGAUAGGUUAUAGGAAUGAGACCACAUCAGGUAGUUGCUCUCAUCCAACUUGAGAAGCUAGUGGGGAAGGUAGGGUAGAUACUAUUAGGGGGACGACUCCCUCCCUCCUGGAGAACCGACAUGUAGAGUCUUCAGACUCCAUAAAUGCUAAUCCCAAGAACAAUCAAAAGCUAUACAAACUGUUUAGAUCUAUCUCGUCAUACAAAUCUAUAUAAGAGCUAGGGUUCUAGACUAGGAGAAGGCCCCCGGUGGGAAGAAACUCACCACUGAGGGGAAAACUCUAAAGGAACCAAAAAAAAAAAGAAAGAAAAGGAGCCCUGUAGAAGGGGAAUAGGGGUGGGGCUAGUGACUAGCGAGAGAGAGAGAAGUGAGCGGUGGAGGCGGUGCAUGGCGGCAGCUAACAGUGGUUGUGGUCUAUGGAAAGAGGCAGCCGUAAGAGGCUAGGCUGUGGUGGCGGUGUUCAUAGAGAGAGAGAGAGAGAGAGAGAGAGAGAGAAGUGGGGCUGCAGCUAGGUUUAGGGUUUAGAGAGAGCAAAAAAUAUGACUUGCGUACACAAGCUACUCUAUUUAUAAUGAAAUAAAACCCUAAAGGGCUUAAGGGUAUGUGUGGAUAACACCCUAAAACCCAAUAAACAAUAAUCCAUUAUUACAAAAAUUAUGAUAUUAUCACUUGGGUAAUGGGUUAGUCCCCUUGAAAAGUGUGCUUAUUUCCUCUCUUUGGGGCAUUUAAAAGGAUUUGAAUUGCAACUUUUCCAAAAUGGGGCCGGUUAUACUCAAUUGGUGAUUGAUAAGAAUAUGGUAUUAGUACUUCAGCAUCACAAUAGGCUUCGGCUAUUGAUUUAUUCAAAGGAAUCCCAAGUGGCAUGCCUAGCAAGUGCUUUUUAUUCUUUCCCAUGAAAACAAAACACUUGAUAUGAAGCAUAAUUUUGACAAUUACCUGGGAAUUCACCAUCAUUUGUCAAGCUCUUGAUCCUCUGUAAAAUCCACAUUAGGCUUGUCUUACUUGUGGGAGUACUAUUGAACAAUGGGAUUAUAGGAGUAGAUGUAUUAAAUUUCCUUGAUAAUUUUCAUUUUUCAGAAGUGAACAAGGCCCCUCAUUUAAGUCCUGGGAGUGGUGCUUAAAAACAUUCCUGACCUUUAAAUAAAUAAAUCCAAUAUUGUGUUGUAGCUUUAGGGGGCAUACUUAUGGUUAAACAAUAUUUCAAGUGGUUGAGUAUAGUUGGGUAAGUCUAGAUAGGAAAUAGCAUAUUUUGAUAAAUGAUGAUUUAUUAAAAAGAAAAGAAGAAAUAGCCAACAGAUGAAGCUCAACCUACAGAAAAGGAAAAAAAAGUGAAAGAAGCAACGGCAAAGUAGGGGAAUGAAAAAGAAAGCUAUGUCCCUAAAGGAAUGCUGGACCUUGUACAGAAUCUACGAUGAACAACACAAUGUUUAGCUUACUCAUUGCCAUUCAUCUGUUUGUUUGUUAUCUACUCUCGUAGUUAGUUAGAUCCAUCUGGAACUGGAAGCCAGACAAAAACAGUGUGAUUUUGGUUAUUUUGACUAUGGAAUAGAGAGGUCCACCUCUUGGGGUAAGGGCUUGUUUCCCUUUUUAUUCUGUUACUGUUUAUGCUAUUUGACUGCUCUUUCUUUGCUACUGCAAUUGCUCCAAGUGUUUAUGGCUUCCAUUUGCAUGUUUUGUAUCUUCUGUUGCUGAGAAUUCAAUGCAUUAGCAUAGAAUCGACCUUUUCCAUUCCAGUCAAACUCAACUGAGUCUUAUCCCAACUAAAUGAGGUUGGCUGUUCCAUGUCAAUUUUGUUGCUUGAAGUUUGAAUCUGUUCAGAAGAUCAAGUGUUUAUACUUGGUUGCAGACAGUUUGAUUUCAAGUUGCAGUUAAGCUAUCAAAUCUGUUUUUUGGAGUAACGUUAUGGUCUUGUUUCUGAUUGAAGCCAGAUAUUUUAUCCAAAGUUUGUAAUAUUCUGGUCCAAGGAACUCUUUUUUUUUUUUUAAGGGGGGGGGGGGGGUUGGUUAGCCAAUCGCCUUUGUUUUUGAAGAAUGAAUCUAAAGUUUGGUAAGAUUCUUGUCUGGUUGGCCCUAGUUUUGUUUAAUUUGUUAUCAUAGUUGUUAAGGAGUCAUCCAGGCACCCUUCGCUGGAAGGGGUGCCUUGUUGGUGUUGCCUUGAUGUGCAGGCCCCUUCGAACACCCUGGGUUGCCUAGAUGCCAUGACAACUACGUAUGUUUUUGCUGCUUCUGGGGAUUACACAUGCAGUUUCUAUUGAAUGAACAUGAGAAGAUCCAGGACCUAUCCCAACAGCUACUUGUUGAGAAACGACGAUGUGCAGGAUACAGAAAGCAACUUGAUCUGCUUUUCAAGUACAUUGAGGAGCACACACACAGCAUGUCAGAGAAGAUCCAACACAUAGUCAACACUGUAAAUGAGAUUGAAUCUCGGAAGUCAGCACAUCAACAACCUAGAUAGCCUUUACAUGUCAAGAUGCUACCUUUGUAAUUUGUUUCCUUUUAUUUUUUGCAAUUAAUUAGUUGGAAUUAUGGGUAUUCAUUCUAUUUUAAUUAUGGACAAUCAAGUUGAAAAAUGCACGUUGCUCGGUGUUUGCCUCUGUUUGGUGCUUUCAUAUGCUUCUCAUAAUGGUAUAAGGAUUGAGACUUGCUCUUUCA